rnacentral:lncRNA from 1 species
UAUAUAUAUAUAUAUAUAUAUAUAUAUAUAUAUGUAUACGUAUAUGAUUACUUCGUUUGCAAAACAAUCUUGAGGGUAGAAGACCCGGAUAAGUUAGCUGACGUCCGACCAAAAUCCUUGUUCAGGGAGAGAGCGGGGUGAGUGAGAGAUGGGGCGUCCGGUUUUGGAGGCGGGCGCUCCCUCGGGUUCGAAGACGGCAGCCCUAAAUUGCAUCAGUCUCGCCGAUCAGGACAUCAAGAAAUCCGUUUCUCUUCUCAAACAGGUCUUCUUUCGAUCCUCUUUGGUUUUAUCUCUCCUUUCCAAUGAGAGAUAUCGAAGGCGAGAUUUCUUUCUUUUUUAUUUGUUUCGAUUUCCAGUGGUUCGUGAGUCAAUUUCAUGUACCGCGCCCUUCUGACUUUUUUAUUGAUCAAGAAAAAGACUAUUUAUUUUCCUUUUUCUUUAUAUUUUUCUGGAGGGGUAAGGUCUGUAAAAAUCAAUCUUUUGCCGAUAUUUUUCCUUCGUCAUUGAUUAUUUUUUCCCAGUUCUUCGUUUCUUGGUGGUGAUUCCGUGUCUUUUCCCUGCUGGAUAUUACAAGAUGCUUAAAAAAUUGGAGAUUAUUUCUAAAAAGUCUUUUUUUUUAAAUUUCUUUACAAAGAAACUCCGCAUUUCUUCUAGUGGUAUUCUAGAUUCCUUGUUAUAUUUUUGUUCAUAAAAGAUUCUUUUUUUAAAGCUUUCAUUAUCAUUUUCUUGAGAGGCAGAGUUGAUACCACAUCUAUGUUCUACUGUUUCUUUCUUGAUUAUGUAUUAUUCGUUGAUAAUUUCCUGUAUUUUUUCAAGAUUUUCGUUUCUUGACAGUGGUUCUCUAAUUUUUUUUUCCCUUCUCAAUUAUCUGAGGAAACUUACGGAAGUUGGGGAUAAUUUCUUUAAAAAUUAUUUUUUUUAAAAAACUUAAAAAGAUUUUCUUGCUCCAACUUAGAGACCGACAGUUAAGAAUCUGUGUUGAGUCAGCUACAAAACUGAUGCGAUCGUGAUGUUGUCGUUAGGACAUCAUGAUUAUCAAUCAAAUUCUGACUUCAAUAAAAAUUAAAAAUACGUAGAAAGUAGUGAGUCGCAUCGAAUCCACAGAGAAGGCAGGAUUUUGAUUUGAAAUCUUUGAUUUUGCAAAAAGAAAAUAAAAUUUUGAAGAAAGUAAUUUAAGUCGGAAAAUAAAAAUUAAAAGUACGAAAAAUAAAUCGGUUACUAAGAUCUACUAACUAGAUUCUAGUAUCUAUUUGCAAUAAAAAUAAAUAAUAAAAAUUUAAAAAGUAUAAAAUAAAUCGAAUACUAAGAUCUACUAAUUAGAUCCUAGCAUCUACUUACGAAAAAUAAAAGACAGAAAUUUAAAGUGUAAGAAAAUAAAUUUUGUAUUAAUUGAAAUUGAAAUUCAAGUACAAAGAAUUUAAAAAGAACAAUAAAAUAAAAAAAUAAAACUGUAACAAAGAUCUGAAGUUGAUCAGUCCAGCCUCGUCGGGAAGAUGGUUGAUGACCUCUCCGUCUUCCGUCGUACUCCGUAGAGUGAAUUGGCUUCUCUCCUUCUUUUUUUUGGGUCCCUAAAUCUAUCUAUUUUUUUUCUAUUUUUUUCUACACUUUUUACUUAAUUUUUCUGCUCCUAAAGCUUAUUUUCGGACCUCCUAUUUAUAGAUGAAUUUUUCAUAAUUUUUUGGUAGGAAAAGGAGUACUAAAAUCCUUAGAAAUCAUUUUAAUCUCCUAGGAAUAUUCCUGGCCGUCGGAUCUGGAUUGGACCGCUCAGAUCAGCCCAAAAAUCAGCCUUUUACUCCUUAUCAGGGUCGGAUUCGAUUCUGACCGUCCGAUCUGGGUUCGGAUUGGUUCUGGGCCGUCGGAUCGUGCCAUAUAUCUUCUCUUAUAAACCGGCAACAAACAUGAACCGUCGGAUCUGGGUCGAGAUGGAUGUCAGCCGUUGGAUCGCGCAAAAGAGGCUUUCACUGCCCGUAGACCGUGCCUGUGGACCGCGUAUUAUUUUUGGUGGACCACGUCCUGGCUCUGUGAACUGAUCGACUGGUCCACCAUGCACCGGAGGCUAUUUUUAGAUUUUUUUAAGGUAUUUUGGCUCCG